rnacentral:tRNA from 1 species
GGAGGCGCUCGACGCGCUGGUGCGGUCCCGGGGCUUCAAACCCCGUGUGGGGCGGCGAUCCCGUCCCGGGCAGGUUCGAUUCCUGUGCGCCUCCG